rnacentral:misc_RNA from 1 species
GAUGAAGAACGCAGCGAAAUGCGAUACGUAAUGUGAAUUGCAGAAUUCAGUGAAUCAUCGAAUCUUUGAACGCAUAUUGCGCUCUCUGGUAUUCCGGAGAGCAUGCUUGUUUGAGUAUCAGUAAACACCUCAACUCCCCUUUCUUUUUUUGAAAUGGGAGCUGGACUUGAGUGAUCCCAACGCUUUUCUCACCGAAAAGUGGCGGGUUACUUGAAAUGCAGGUGCAGCUGGACUUUUCUCUGAGCUAAAAGCAUAUCUAUUUAGUCUGCCUAAAAAACAGAUUAUUACCUUUGCUGCAGCUAACAUAAAGGAGAUUAGUUCUUGUGCUGACUGAUGCAGGAUUCACAGAGACAGCUUCGGCUGGCCUUUGUAAAAUCGAUCUCAAAUCAAGUAAGACUACCCGCUGAACUUAAGCAUAUCAAUAAGCGGAGGA